AUUUUUUUUUCGCCGAUUACUCGGUGAUUGGCAAUUGAUUCCGCGUUUCUAUUCUCGGCUACAAUCAUUCCGUGUUUCCUUGUAUACAAAGGUUGAACCUAGUCUACAAACAAACAUCAUUCAUCCUCUUCAAUUUUCGGAAACUUCGACUCUUGCCAAAAUCACGUUAACAAGGAACUUAUAUAAACGACAUUCUCACGGCCGUUCUCAACGCACCUCUCUCACAACUUAACUUUCCUCUUUCUCGCAACCCACCGGAGUUCGAAGUCGCCGGAGAUCGAGUAGGCGACUUACGGAUAUCACGUCGUCGGAGCUGAUGAGAAUUCGCACAUCAUCUUUUGGUUCGCGCUGGUUCACGUCGGAAGCCAACCGAGGAACUACGGACAUCGCGACAAGGAUUGUUUUCAUCUCGGUUAAUUCCUUCUCUUGUUCGUUCUCUUGGAUUAUUUCCCAAUCUUUACUCGCGCGUUAUUACAAGAAAUCGCAACGCAACUCAACCAUGUUGAUAGUCAAGAUGAAGAAGUCAAGUUAGAAUGGACUAGAUACCCAUUUUAAUAAUAAACCAUGUUUGUUGCUAUUUGUCUUUAUAUGAAACAAUGUAUUUGAAUUUAGUCAUUUAUGAAAUUUGAUUUAAUCUAUA